ensembl:lncRNA
CACGUGGGGUGCAAUCUUGUUGUGAAAACGCUGAUAUGCCUUGAGACACCACAUUAGGAGGCCAUCCUCGCUUGUCAUCAGAGCUUUAAUUGCCACGGCCAGGUGCAAACAGCAUGUAAUCUUGUUUGUCAGCCGCACAGUUUUAUUUUCUAAUUUCGUCCUUUUGACAAGCAAUUUGGGAAUAGAGAGGGAUUUGAGAGAGCAGGCGGCCGUGAGCUAGUGGGGUGGAGUCGGAUUUGGCGAAGCUGCGAGAGGAGAAAACGGGGGUGUCGAAUGCGUACAUCUGUGCGUUUGUGUGUGCGGCGGUGGUUAUGCAAGUGUGUGUGCACACAGGGCCCCUCAUCACUCCUGUUCAACCUUGUAAUCUAUGUGUCUCCCCAGUCUCUUUGUCCUGAGGAAUGCCUGGCUCAGUGAGUGCAGAAAAUUACCCUCCUGCUCUGUUCCUCAGCCUCAUGAAUAUCACACACGCAGCACACACACACACACACACAGUCCUCUAAGCUCAUCUAGUUAAAAUUCUAAGGGAUAUGAAAGAGGAUCAUCCGUUUCCAGAUUUUUUUUAUUUUUAUUUUUUUUUACUACCUGGCCACCAGACCCAUGCUUUGUUCCUAAACCAACCACUAAGAAAACAUGAGGAGUUAAACUAAGCAAUUCACAGCCUAGAUAUACAGCUACCUCUUCUUUCCACUAAUGGCUGGACCUAUUGAGCGCCGUACAAUGCUGUCUCGAGAGCUGUAGCUGAGAUGACCCCAGCUGCUUAAACUCACAACACGACCGAGAGUGAGUUUUGAAAAAAAUAUCCUUCUGCUCGGCUUCAUGUUUGCUUGUUUUGAGUAUGAAUAAAACUUGUGCUUUUUAACCCGGUGUUUUUGCCUGCAUUUAUGACUGAUAAUGCCAAGUCCACGAAUGAGUCUGUGUGUGAGUCAUCAUCUGACUCAAUCAGACCUCCCCAUUUUAAGCUUGCUUGUCCAGCCUUUUAUGUAGAUGCCCUUUUAGUGGUGCUUUCUUUUAUUUCUGGGGGGGUUCUCUGACCCACCAGCAAUCUCUGUUCAAGCAUUUGUCAAAAUGUUUAGCAUUGUCAUGAGCCCUUUGUCUGGUCGAGGUCCCUCAGAUGACUUUUGUUAUGACAGGAUACCCUAAGUGAGGAGCCAGUGUUUUUUUGUGCUGUACUUUGGCCAUUGUGCUGCAAAAGAUAUUUAAAUGGGGGUGCAGCCAUAGGCCGAAUAUGCCUGGUAGAUAGAGGUCAGGUGCAAUGAGAGGCUUCUUUCAGAGACUAUGCUGAUGUAGUGUUACUCCAUAAAAGAUGAGGACUGGGUCCGGGCAAGUUUGAG